AACGAACGCUGGCGGCAUGCCUAACACAUGCAAGUCGAACGAGACCUUCGGGUCUAGGGGCGCACGGGUGCGGACCGCGGGGGAACCUGCACUUAGGUUCGGAGUAACUCCCCGAAGGGGGUGCUAAUACCGGAUAAUGUCUUAGGACCAAAGAUUUAUCGCCUUUGGGUGGGCCCGUGUUGGAUUAGCCAGUUGGUAGGGUAAAAGCCUACCAAGGCGACGAUCCAUAGCUGGUCUGAUAGGAUGAUCAGCAACGCUGGGAAUGAGACCCGGACCAGUCUCGUACGCGAGGGAGCAGUGUAGAAUAUUGUGGCAGGAACGCAGGUGUGGUACAGCCAUGCGGCGUAAGAGAGGAAGCCAGUAGGGUUGUAAAUCUGUUUUACCCGGGGCGAGAAUGACAGUACUGGGAGAAGAAGCACCGGCUAACUACGUG
rnacentral:rRNA from 1 species